ensembl:lncRNA
CAUAUACCUCUCGGAUUAAACGCCUCACUAAAUCCAACACGCUCAAAAGUGACUUUCGCCAACAGCACCGCAGGGAUCCUAGGUAGGCGAGGGGCAAAAAACGGGGGGCAGAGUUUGACCUCCCCCUCCUCGAUUUGAUUAUUCGAUAGAUGACGGCUGGGAGGGGAGGGGGGUGGCAGAUAGGUACAUAAAAAGGAAUUAUCCGAACCAGCAUAGGGUGCCACAGUCCCAAACACCACCUGUAGUCAGUAGAAUGACUCACCUGUAGGCUUGUGCCAGAGGCUAAACAUAAACUUUUACUCUGUAACUAAAGUGCACAAGAUUUAUUUGCACCUUUUACUGCAUCAUAUACAUGGGUCUUUUUUUUUCAUAUGUACAUUUAGCUGAAUUUACUUUCCUUCCUCUUCCCUUGGUUGCUGAAUUCCUCUCGAGUUUUUUUCCCCCUCAUCAGAGGCAAAACAAACAAAAAAAAAAGAUGCAGUACGUCUUUUCCUUUUCACACCACCGCAGUACCAGAACAUUGCAUGGCAUAUGAUCACCUCUUAGUGACGCAUGUUUGAGUGAAUGUUAUUAAUCGUCGUGGGUUUGGGGAGGCUGCCAUAAAUUUGAAACUGUCAGGUGCUCGGUUGUUUCGUCCUCCCGUUCUUGCGUGUCGUCUAAUCAGUGGCGUUUAAUUGGAGGCAGAUUAAUGCAGGAAUCAGCUCACGUGUGAUUGUUUGGAGACACUGCAGCCAGAGUUCACAUACUGUAGACAGAAUCACAUUUGCUGCUGCUUCUCUUUUUUUGUUGAGUAUUUACAAAAACGGACGUAAUGAGAGCGAUAAGACAUCACCAAGAAUGAAUUGGUUCUUACUGGUAUAAAUGCACUUUUUUUUCUUUUUGUAAGAAAUUUAGAAUUUCUAAUGUUAAGACGUACAGUAAUAAUAUACUGAACUUGAGCUCUAGGUUUUUUGAUAAAUGAUUUUAGGACUGUUAACGGCUUGCUAAAGUAAGCGUAAUGAUAAUGUUAAGCAAUGGUAAAAGUGACUCGGUAAGACUUGAGGCCUCUUAAUGUAGUUUUAUAAUGUAGCUCCUGUAAAAUGGACUGAAUAGGAUUUAAGAAGAGGGAGGCAUCUUCAUGACAGUAUUCUGCUGCACCCGUCGGUCCAUAUCUGUGUCUGAGGACGUCGUUUUCAUCCAACAUUGAGGCUUCUGCUCGUCAUGAACAUUGCAUGCUUUCUGACAGGUCUUUGUUCCUUUUAGACAUUUUUCUAACGGAUCUCUUUGGGGGGAUCCGCCUUAUAAGAGCUUUGUCGAUGGCACUGCACCUCACUGCUGGACUAAUACGGUACUCCUCCAGCUUCUGAUCAAACUAGUGAUUGUUGUUGCCAUAUAUACACCCGUCGAUACUGUGUAGGAAAUGCCUGGGAAUACACCGAGUCCUAAUAGUUCUCCCCUGACACCGGUUAGCGUACGAGAGGGAGCGGUGGUCUUUAUUCAGCUUUAUCUUUUAGUCUUUGUCCGUAGUGGACAGUUGUAUCGGCUGUCUGCCUGUUGGUGUUUUACUAUAAAGGUGUGUCUGCGAGUACUUCUUAGACGACAUUUCGCACCGGCCCUGCUCUAGAGUUAUGUUUGGGAGGAUAUCUGAGUCGUGCAUGUUGAUGUGGCCGCUGAGUAUCAACACUUUACCGCCGGGUAACGGUUUGUCAGGGUGCAAGCAGCUGUUAGGAUGAACACUCACAUCUCAGAAGCAUUAAUAUCUGCUGGUAUCUCUGCUUCAUUUAUUAGAUGGAUUAAGCUUUAAGAGGAGACACUACAGGUGAAUGAGCUUUAACUUCACCAGGUGGUCACACAGUAACACUUCAUUUUUUUGUAAAGCACGUUUCUGGAGCAGAAUGGGGCGUACAUUUAGAUACUGACACUGGAUACAAUCAAAAUUCUGGUUUCGUUUUGUUGAAGUAGUUCUUGCAAAUCCACUUUUGUGAUAUUUUUAAGGAUGAGAUGUUCCAUAAGACUGAUUUAUGAACAAACCCCUCAGUAGAAACCUUCAGAAUAUAGAUGGGGAGGUUUGUUGUGAUUUAUAAUUGACAUCUGCAGAUGCAAAUGCACAAAAUGUACUAAACUACACACCUACAUGUGUGUAUUGGAUGUUUUCUCUGAAAUAAUCUCCCCUUGCAUGGAGGAAAGAGGACAUAUUUUUGCCUGUAGUGUCUCUCUUUUUAAAAAAAAUCAACAAACUAACAUGGAUUUAGUUGGUUGCUGAUGAGAGUUUUUGGAUCUUUAACCACUUUCAUGAGCAGCAACACUCCGGUGUGAUCACGUCUUGUUCAGGUUAGCCGGUGGGGAAGUGUUGAGACAUGAGGCGGCCGCUCAGCGAUCAGACUGAUGUUUGAUGCAGCGACUAGUGAAGCCUUCAAUACGACGUUUAGAAGGAUGGAGCUCUGUGCCACAGACGUGGUAAAAAGAAGUCGAGGCUCCACCAUUUCUCGCCACGUUGGGAUAAAUGAGCUGCAUAUGGAAGGAAAUUUAAAUGCAAAGGUGUCCGUUUUUUGUUAUUUUGUUUAUUUUUUAAUUUUUUUGUUUCAAUGCUCAUGUGAACGUUUUGUUUUUAUUUAUUUCGUUUUAUAUUUUAUUUUUUGUGCUCUUGCGCACAAAUUUUUUUUGGACUUUACAAGUUUUUUUUUCUUUCCUUUUUUAUUCUUUUUAUUUAAAGAACUAUUUGUUUUCGUUGUUUUAUAGCGGACCAUCUGAUUAUGUCAGGUUUGACGUGGUUGGACUGAAGGCGAGUCGGUGCUUGGUGCAAACCGUAGGGAAGAAUGUGGAAAACAAAUUCAUGACUUUGUUUCAAUCUGAUAUCACGGCUGGCAGUUGAAUUUAAUGUAGUACCUUUUUUUUUUUUUUUUGCUGAACCGUUGUGCAGGUGGGAUGUAAUCUGAUGUAUCCCUUUUUAUUUAAUUUUUGUGAAUAGGGGAAAAUAAAAGUUUUUCUAUUAAGCUUGGUGUCAGCUGAAUGUUUUGUUUUCUGUGUGGUCAUCACUAUGUUGGAAACCCGGGAAUACGACUGUAUACCAUCAAUUACAGUAAUAUUUAAUGGAACUUCCUGCACACCUGAUUAAGUACAUUUUGGGCCAAUUAAAGCUUCUGUCUGACUGCAUAGCUGAAUAAAUGUGUUAAAAUCAGAAAACUUUGUUGAACCUUACAAAGAUACCAGUUUUAAUUCUAAUUAUAUAGCCUCAACAUUAUUUUCAGCUUGUCUUUUACAACCAUGAGUACUUUGAACAUUUGGGAGUGGGGAUGCUAAUAAAGAGAGAUAUGACUGUUUGUUUAAAGGCAUUAUUCUGUAAUACUGUCAAAUAGUCAUUGCUGAGAUCACAGCUGCAUGUUUUGACAGGGAUAAUUGGGUCAAUAUAUAUUUGUGGGACUUUCUUGUAUCAUAGUUGACAUUUUUGCUGUUUUCAGGCCUAAAAUCAACAUGGCUGCCUAUAACCAAACACCACAUGGCAUUUUUACAGAAAGAUUCUUCUAAAUAUUAUACAUACAAUUGAGUGAAAUUGAAAGUUUUUUCUGAAGAUAUUGUAGUAAACCUGUUG